UAAGUCAGCCACGAAUAGGCUAUCCCAACUAACGGCGGGAAAGACUCCACGGAGGGUGUAAGACCCGUGUGGGCGCGUGUUAAAGCUGUGUGGGCUCGGCCUCCAUUCCCUGAGAGUCGCGUUGCUUGAGCAUGCAGCGCUAAGCAGGUCGUAAACUCGAUCUAAGGCUAAAUAUUUCCACAGAACCGAUAGCGAACAAGUACCGUGAGGGAAAGUUGAAAAGCACUCUGGAGAGAGAGUCAAAAGACCGUGAAACCGCUCAGAGUAUAAGCCCAUGGCAGCUUGGAAGGCAUAUCGCUAGCGGGGCAUCGGUCUCCCUUCGCGGGGAGCUGGUGUUACCUUGCUUCUGUUGUGGCUCGUCAUGGUAGGGGGGUCAGGUCCACAUCCCGCCGUCGUGUGGGGGGUUCUUGGGUGUGUUGUGGUUUCUCGGUUGGCUUCGGCUUGCCGGGGGGCUCUUCGUGCUCUGUUCCCUUUUAGACACGGACGUUCAGACUCAGUUGCAAGACGCGAUAAACAGCCCACCACGGCACGUUGUGAGGUCACCCACAGGCUCGACUUUCGAUCGUGAACCUUGACGCCGAGCAAGCACAAUGCGUGUCGCAGAUGUUCCUAACCAGGCAACGUUGCCAGGAUCGUGGAACGACACGCGCUCAACAGUCAGGUUCGGGCGGAGACAGAGUUCUGGUACGAUCCUCUUGCGACGAGCCGGCUUCUGGCCGACGUCCGAUGCUCAGGUCUCCCGCAUGUGCCGCGGGAGAUCGCUUUGACGGUCUGGA
rnacentral:rRNA from 2 species